rnacentral:rRNA from 1 species
UAUUGCUCCAUCUCACAUUGCUCCAUCCCACAUCGCUCCAACCAGCCCUUUCCCCCGCCCUCUUCAACCUCCGAGCUUUUUUUUUUUCUUUUCUUUCUUCUCCACUCGCUCUCCCUUUUCCCCCUUCCUCCCUCGCACUCACCCACGCACUCACCCACCCACUCACCUUACUCACGCAUGGAGUCAUCUACCAAACCAACGGGCGACUCUGCUGCCCUCCACGACUGAAGUCCGGAGCGCUUGUUUUGCGCUCCAAAUUCCGGGCGACCAGUAUUCCCCGUCCUCUGCACCCAGUAUCCUCCAGUGAGACCCCCCGUCCGUCCGUCAGUCAGUCAGCCAGUCAGUCACGCUGUGGUUUGAUCGGGCUCGCUCGUCCGGAGUGAAAAAGUGAAAAACCCUUGUUUGUUGUUCUUGUUUCAUUUUGUUUUUUCUAACUGCCUCCACCUCCACAAGGCUGCUUCUACCAACUCGCAUACUUUUGCUUUAACUUUUAUUGGCACAUGAUCUCGCGCGCGCACACACGCAGACACUCUCAGUCACGAUCGCACCACGGUGCUAGCAACUUACAAAACAACUAAACCGGCCCCUCCCCCGCCACCUUCAAGUUCCGGCUCAGGUUUUUGGCGUUUUUGUUUUGUUUUGUUUUUUGCUCCCCAUCUGUGCUGUGCUGUGCUGCGCUGUGCUGUUCUCCUCCCCCCACUCCAACCCCCUCCUGCAAACCUGGCUCAGCGCUAAAAGCAGAGAUGUACCCUUGCGCAAACAAAAGCCACCACGACUGUGGCGUCCCAAAAAACAAAAAACAAAAAUCCCACACUCGCAACACCCCCCGUCCCCGGUCGCUUUCAAGUUCCGAGCCCAAGAAGGUGCAACAAAACCCCGCUCACCUUCAUCUUCCGAGUCGCUGCCAAGGGGGGCUGCUUGCUUGUUGCUUGUUGCUUGUUGCUUGUUGCUUGUUGCUUGUUGCUUGUUGCUUGUUGCUUGUUGCUUGUUGAUCUAGAUGAUGUUGAAGAUGUUGCUGCUACUGCUGCUGCUACUGCGACAAACGCCUCUCAGUCCACCGUGCCCCCGCCUCCUUCAUCUUCCGGCCUCCAAAAUCAAAAACUCCUGCUAUCCCUAACCCCCAUCACCAUAAUGUCACCAUAAUGUCAUCACCCGUAUCAUCAUCGCAGGCAACUCCCAUCACCCUUCUUUGGCUCGACUUUGCUCCCUCUUCAACAAGUGCCCCCCUUCCCCCGCCUCCUUCACCUUCCGAGCCUGCUCCUUCAAAUCCCUCCCCUUGCUUCCCCCUUCGCUCCCACCGCCUCCUACACGCUCCCUAUCGUCCACCUAUGCGCUCUCACGCUCUCACCUCCCAACGCAAUACUCGCCCUCCCCCCUCAGCCUCUCACCUCAUGAGCGGAUUCCUUUCUCUCGCUAGAAAACAAAAAAAUCAAAAAACAAAACAAAAACCCUCUCCCCCAAAGUCCUAUCUUCAAAGUCGGCCUUGAGCGAAAGGCUCCCGCUCCAACAAACUCCACCCCCACCUCCCAGCUGCCGCUCUUGUAUCCCCCCUCCCACCUUCGCUCGCAUGCACAGCCCAGUACCGCAUCCCCCCCCCCAAAAAAAAAACAUACAUGCCUGUGCCCUCGACAGCUCCCCUCCUCCCUUUCCAUCCUCCCCUCCUCCCCCCUCCUCCUAUUGCUCUCCUACUCCUCCAUCCCUCCAUAAUCUCUCACUCACUUUCAUUUUUACCACUCGCUCGGCAAUCGUUUCCUCCACUGAUGCCAGCGCAGACAGGUGAAAAGGGCAGCCGAACUGAACCAUUUGUUUUCAAAGUCCAUCCAGCCUGUCGGGUUGGCAAGAUCUGCGUCAGGGGCCCGCUAUAACUGUCGGCUUUUGCUAAAACCCUUAUUAGACACACUCGCUUACAUAUCCGCACUUCAAACGUACGUUCAGCGCAGCUGCACAGGGAAGAGACAGGGACGAUUGUCGACUUUGUCGCAAAAACCCACCCAAACCACCCCCAAACCACCUCCCUGCCCCGUCCCCUUCGCCCACGCUUGUGCGGGUCUUGCUCAUACUCAUCUAUGCUACUUGGACAUACAUGAAAAGGCGCACUGGAAGAAGCGUGCAUUGACGCGAGCAGGACGUUGCACUCAGCCCCCCCGACCGACCUACCCCCCUCCCCCUCCCCCUUUUUGUUUUCCCCCCGUCCCCCCAACCUUACCCUCCUCUCAGUCACCCUCCAACAUCAUCACCACCCUCGACCGCAAUGUGGCGUGGUCGGUUUGGCCACCUGCGAAACCAUCCAUUUU